ACAGAGGGGGCAAGCGUUAUUCGGAAUUAUUGGGCGUAAAGGGCGCGUAGGCGGCUUUGCAAGUGACGGGUGAAAGCCCUCGGCUUAACCGAGGAACUGCCUGUCAGACUGUGAGGCUUGAGACCGGGAGAGGUGAGUGGAAUUCCCAGUGUAGCGGUGAAAUGCGUAGAUAUUGGGAGGAACACCAGUGGCGAAGGCGGCUACCUGGACCGGUUCUGACGCUGAUGCGCGAAAGCGUGGGUAGCAAACAGGA
rnacentral:rRNA from 1 species